CACACAAAUUCAACGACCGUGACCGUCAACAUUAUCAACGCUCGUCCGAAGUUUGUCGACCUUCCAAAGAGCACAACGGUCAGCGAAGACGCAUCGUCCUUGACUAUUCUUUUCAGCACGAUGGACUAUUCUGGAGACGCCGUCACGUGUCAACUAAAACCCACAGUAGAAGGCUUUACCUUGACAAAUGGAGCAACAGCGAAUAACAUAACAUCGCACACGGUUAUAGCUUCGGUGGCCUUCGAUUAUAGCAAUACGUCGUUUUUCGAACUCACAGUGGAAUGUAACGACGGAGUGUACUACAUGACAUCAAAUCUUCAAGUCGCCGUCAUCGCAAACAAGCCACCAUAUUUUGUGGCCUCCAAUCCUGGAUAUG